rnacentral:rRNA from 1 species
GAUGAACGCUAGCGGGAGGCCUAACACAUGCAAGCCGAGCGGUAUUGUUUCUUCGGAAAUGAGAGAGCGGCGUACGGGUGCGUAACACGUGUGCAACCUGCCUUUAUCUGGGGGAUAGCCUUUCGAAAGGAAGAUUAAUACUCCAUAAUAUAUUGAACGGCAUCGUUUAAUAUUGAAAGCUCCGGCGGAUAGAGAUGGGCACGCGCAAGAUUAGCUAGUUGGUGAGGUAACGGCUCACCAAGGCGAUGAUCUUUAGGGGGCCUGAGAGGGUGAUCCCCCACACUGGUACUGAGACACGGACCAGACUCCUACGGGAGGCAGAAGUGAGGAAUAUUGGUCAAUGGGUGCAAGCCUGAACCAGCCAUCCCGCGUGAAGGACGACUGCCCUAUGGGUUGUAAACUUCUUUUGUAUAGGGAUAAACCUACCCUCGAGAGGGUAGCUGAAGGUACUAUACGAAUAAGCACCGGCUAACUCCGUG